UACGGGGGGGGGCAAGCGUUGUUCGGAAUUACUGGGCGUAAAGGGCUCGUAGGCGGCCAACUAAGUCAGACGUGAAAUCCCCAGGCUCAACCUGGGAACUGCGUCUGAUACUGGAUGGCUUGAAUCCGGGAGAGGGAUGCAGAAUUCCAGGUGUAGCGGUGAAAUGCGUAGAUAUCUGGAGGAACACCGAUGGCGAAGGCAGCUCGCUGGGACGGUACUGACGCUGAGGCGCGAAAGCGUGGGGAGCAAACAGG
rnacentral:rRNA from 1 species